UACGUAGGGGGCCAGCGUUGCUCGGAAUUACUGGGUGUAAAGGGUUCGUAGGCGGUGCGGCAAGUUGGGAGUGAAAUCUUUGGGCUCAACCCAGAGGCUGCUUUCAAAACUGCUGUGCUUGAGUGUGGGAGAGGCGCGUGGAAUUGCAGGUGUAGCGGUGAAAUGCGUAGAUAUCUGCAGGAACACCCGUGGCGAAAGCGGCGCGCUGACCACAACUGACGCUGAGGAACGAAAGCUAGGGGAGCAAACAGG
rnacentral:rRNA from 1 species